rnacentral:rRNA from 1 species
GAAGUAUCAUGCAGGCACUCUGACAGCCAUGCCGCGUGCAGGAAGACGGCCCUAUGGGUUGUAAACUGCUUUUGUACGGGAGAAAACCCUUUCACGUGUGGGAGGUUGAUAGUACCGUAAGAAUAAGCAUCGGCUAACUUCGUGCCAGCAGCCGCGGUAAGACGAAGGAUGCAAGCGUUAUCCGGAUUCAUUGGGUUUAAAGGGAGCGUAGGUGGACUUGUAAGUCAGUGGUGAAAUCUCUCAGCUUAACUGAGAAACUGCCAUUGAUACUGCAGGUCUUGAGUACAGAUGAUGUGGGCGGAAUAUGACAUGUAGUGGUGAAAUACUUAGAUAUGUCAUAGAACACCGAUUGCGAAGGCAGCUCACAAAACUGUAACUGACACUGAGGCUCGAAAGUGCGGGGAUCAAACAGGAUUAGAUACCCUGGUAGUCCGCACCGUAAACGAUGAUAACUCGUUGUUAGCGAUAUGACAGUUAGCGACCAAGCGAAAGCGAUAAGUUAUCCACCUGGGGAGUACGCCGGCAACGGUGAAACUCAAAGGAAUUGACGGAGU